rnacentral:rRNA from 1 species
CAAAAACAUCGCCUCUCGCAUAAAUCAUGAGAGGUCCUACCUGCCCAGUGACGUAAGUUCAACGGCCGCGGUAUUUUGACCGUGCAAAGGUAGCGCAAUCAAUCGUCUUUUAAAUGAAGUCCCGUAUGAAUGGUAAUACGAAAACUCAACUGUCUCAUUCUUUCAACCAAUGAAAUUGAUUUCUUCGUGCAGAAGCGAAGAUAAUAACAUAAGACAAAAAGACCCUGUGGAGCUUUAGAUUAACCAGCUUAGAUUUUCUUAUAACUUACUUCAUUAUAAUAAACUCUAAAUCCUGCUUACGUCUUAGAUUGGGGCGAUCACGGAGAAAACAUACCCUCCAUGAAGAAAGAUAUAUAUCUUUAUAACUUAGAGCAACAACUCUCAAUAUUAAAACAUUUAACUUUAUGAACCGGCUUACCGAUUAACGAACCCAGUUACCCCAGGGAUAACAGCGCAAUCCCCUUAAAGAGCACUUAUCACCAAGGGGGUUUACGACCUCGAUGUUGGAUCAGGACAUCCUAAUGGCGCAUCUACUAUUAAGGGUUCGUUUGUUCAACGAUUAAAGUCCUACGUG